AACAUCGCGCACCUGCGGGAACCUGCGGAAGGAUCAUUACAGAGUUGCAAAACUCCCACAAACCAUCGCGAAUCUUACCCGUACGGUUGCCUCGGCGCUGGCGGUCCGGAAGGCCCUCGGGCCCCCGGACCCUCGGGUCCCCCGCUCGCGGGGGGCUGCCCGCCGGAGUGCCGAAACCAAACUCUUGAUAUUUUAUGUCUCUCUGAGUAAACUUUUAAAUAAGUCAAAACUUUCAACAAC
rnacentral:misc_RNA from 1 species